rnacentral:rRNA from 1 species
ACAGCAGUCGCCACGGUAAUACGAAGGGGGCUAGCGUUGUUCGGAUUAACUGGGCGUAAAGGGCGCGUAGGCGGGUUUUUAAGUCAGAGGUGAAAUCCCAAGGCUCAACCUUGGAACUGCCUUUGAUACUGGAAGUCUUGAGUCCGGGAGAGGUGAGUGGAACUGCGAGUGUAGAGGUGAAAUUCGUAGAUAUUCGCAAGAACACCAGUGGCGAAGGCGGCUCACUGGCCCGGUACUGACGCUGAGGCGCGAAAGCGUGGGGAGCAAACAGGAUUAGAUACCCCCGUAGUCCCUGUCUCUUAUAC